GAAGCUGACCAGGCAGUCGCCGCUUUGUCGUCGUCCUUUUCGGAGGAGACAGGCAGAGGGGAGGAAAGUCCGGGCUCCACAGGGCAGGGUGCCAGGUAACGCCUGGGGGGCGCAAGCCCACGACCAGUGCAACAGAGAGCAAACCGCCGAUGGCCCGCAAGGGAUCAGGUAAGGGUGAAAGGGUGCGGUAAGAGCGCACCGCGCGGCUGGUAACAGUUCGUGGCACGGUAAACUCCACCCGGAGCAAGGCCAAAUAGGGGUUCACAUGGUACGGCCCGUACUGAACCCGGGUAGGCUGCUUGAGCCAGUGAGCGAUUGCUGGCCUAGAUGAAUGACUGUCCACGACAGAACCCGGCUUAACGGUCAGCUUCAACU
rnacentral:RNase_P_RNA from 4 species